rnacentral:rRNA from 1 species
CCUACGGGGGGCAGCAGUGGGGAAUUUUGCGCAAUGCUCGUAAGAGUGACGCAGCGACGCCGCGUGAAUGACGAAGGCCUUCGGGUCGUAAAGUUCUUUCGACAGGGAAGAAAAUGCCUAUAAGUAACUGUGUAUGUAUUGACGGCACCUGUAUAAGCAGCCCCGGCUAACUCCGUGCCAUCAGCCGCGGUAAUACGGAGGGGGCGAGCGUUGUUCGGAGUGACUGGGCGUAAAGAGCACGUAGGCGGUGUUGUAAGUCAUUAGUCAAAGACUAGAGCUCAACUUUAGUAAGGCUAGUGAUACUAUAAUACGAGAGUAUCAGAGAGGAUUGCAGAAUUCCUGGUGUAGCGGUGAAAUGCGUAGAUAUCAGGAGGUAUACCGUUAGCGAAGGCGGCAAUCUGGCUGGAAACUGACGCUGAGGUGCGAAAGCGUGGGUAGCAAACAGGAUUAGAUACCCGAGUAGUC